ensembl:lncRNA
UUUUUUUUCACACACUGAACACGCUGUUUAUCUUGGAAAUUUCUCACAUUAAAAGUCCACUACGUAACUUUUAUUCCUCUAGCUAGCGGUUAAAAUACAAAAAAAGUAACUCGCGGAGGAAGAUUGUUUUGCUCGUCACGUGAGUUGUGCUUCGGCGCGGACGAAUCUAAUGUUUUGAGGCGCCGCGCUGAUCGUGAUUACAGGUGAUCUUUUAUCGGCGGGAAUUUAAGUAACGAAAAACAAACUGAAACGAACGAAAGAUAGAUAUCUGAAAAUAUGUCUUAGGAACAGCUAACCUGAAAUGUGAACUCUGGGGCCUAAAAAUACAAGAUGUCCAUCUUAAAAUAUCGUCCCGGACCCCGGUUUGACCCUGGCAGGGCCUCAGGGUGGGGGAAAGGACAGUCGAGAUGAUACCCUGCAGCCGGGCCGAGUUACAGCGAGCCAUGCGUCCUCCACGCAGUCAUUCGACACGAUGCAUGGAAACACAGUCUGACACACUCGCACUGGAAAAACACCAUGGGUUCAUAGCCAAGCAACAGUUUAGAAACUUCACAUCAUCUCAUUUAAUAACUAGUCUUGUUGUGAAAGACCUUUCAUUUCAUGCAAAUAUGCCAACUUUGCCAAUCUCUUGUACAUAGAAACAGUUAACUCUAAAAUAAAACAAUUCUUAAUGUCCUCCCCCUCAGGCCAUCCGAGAUCAGGAUGAGUUUGUUUCUUCGUCAGAUUUGGAGAAAUGUAGCAUUGCAUCAGUGUCUCAGCAGUGAAUGAGAGUCCAAACAGCUGAUAAAAACAUCACAAUAAUCCACAAGCAAUCCAUGCCACUCCAGUCCAUCCAUUAACAUCUGGAGAAGAUCAUAUAGUCAUUGAGAGUCAUUGAGAUUUUUUUUAGAGCUGUUUUGUACUGUUUAAACAGCUUGAUCUGUACAGAUUUCUCUCCUGAUUCAGACCAGAGCAAUUUUUAACUGGAGGAAGCGUUAUGGAUUAUAGACUCGGACUUUAGACAGAAGCAAUGGUUUGGAGUUAAAAACAUCCUUACAACUGAAAUUUUAUUUUGCAUUAUGCAUUGCAUUGUUGUGUUUUACGGUGAAGGAAACGUUUGUAGACUUCACAGAAUAAAAAACUUACCAGUACA